GUGUCGAGGAGGUCCGAGAUGCACCCAAUCUCUGCGUCAGAUGUCAGGCGGAGGAGGAGAGGACGGAAUCGGACUCCGAUUGGUCUUCGGAGGAUGUCUCAACGGGGCCGGCAGAUGCUAUUAUCGAGGAUGACGAAAAGCAUUUUUACAAAAGCAGCAGCGUUUCAUUGUCCCAAGAAACAGUCUCUUCGAUUCCAACAUCGUGUGAGGGGGGU
rnacentral:lncRNA from 1 species